AUGCUGGUGCGACCGAGAGUGCUGCGUCGCCGGAGAGCGAAUUGGUUCCGAGGAGUCCGUCUAGGAGCAGGGCGAGCGUUUUUUACGAGUUUUCUAGGUGAUUAUGUGCUCGGAGAUCAGUAUAGGAAUCCUUGGAAGGAGUUCAGGAUAGGGAAGCUGGUGGAAGAUGUCGAUGCUCUCGCUGGGCCUAUAUGCUGCUAUAAGCAACACAAGGCCUCUAUUAUUAGUCGCUGCUUCCCUAGGCAGAAGUUUCUCACGAGGCCAAUCCGUAUUGACACUGACUUGCAAAUAGUGUGAGCUGUUACAUGGGUUGGGCGCUCGUCAAUGGAGAUCCACCUGGAAGUAACUCAGUCCACAGAAGAAAUCUGUGAUUCCUCAUAUUCAGUUGCACUUACCGCCAAUUUCACAUUCGUGGCUCGUGAUUCUAGAACUGGGAAAUCAGCUCCAAUUAAGCCCAUCUCCCCAGAGAUAAAGAUAGAAAAAUUACUUUGGCAAGAGGCAGAAAAGAAGGAAUCAAAUGAGGAAAAAGGAGAGAAGAACGUAGCAGCAAUACUAAGGGGGAUAACUUGUCAAGGCUCCAAGCUUUGUUUGCUGAAGUUCGUGUCUUCUGUGAUAUGCCUGCACUGGCAGACAGUGAUAUCAUUCCGAGAAGCGACACUUGUUUUGAGAACUCAUUAAUAUGCCAUUCACAGCAAAGGAAUAUUCAUGGGAAGGUAUUUGGAGGAUUUUAAUGCGAAUGCCUUUGCUGGUUUGUCACCCGGGUUCUUUGAAGUUGACCAUGUUGAAUUCUUGAGACCUGCAGAUGUUGGCAAUUUUCUCUGCCUCAAAUGCUGUGUCCUGUAUGCGGAGCUUGACAAUCCAGCUGAACCCCUGGUAAAUGUUGAAGUUGUGGCCGAUGUGAUGCAACCUGAGCUCAGGUCACGCAAGGCAUCUUUACGGUGGAAUUCUUUGGAGAAGCUUGCUUGCGAAACAUGCUUGGAAGCAAUUGGUUCUGUCUUGAAGGAAACAACUACCAAGCUAGAGUUAAAACCAUACCUCAAGCUCUCGCCACAAGUCAAAGGGGAGAGACAUGCCUUAGGGCGUUAGCUUCAACCAACAAUAUGGGUGAAUAUGAACUGGUCGGAUUUACGCUUUUGCAUAAGCAACUCUUCCAUCUUUUCUAUAUUUGUAAGAAGGUGAUGUUUCAUUUAUUUCUUCUGUUUCUUUGGAUUUCAUAAUCGUUCUCUUUGAUGGUAGCUGAUGAUACAUGCUCACAAAAAGACUAGAGACUUUUUGGACAAUCAUCCCCGAUGGUGAAAAUUGUCCAAAAUGUAAGAAGAUGAACAAUAGAAUAUGCUUUGAUUUCUUUACCGACACGGUCCGUAGAUAA